rnacentral:rRNA from 1 species
AGAGUUUGAUCAUGGCUCAGAUUGAACGCUGGCGGUAGGCUUAACACAUGCAAGUCGUGCGAGAAAGUAUCUUCGGAUAUGAGUAGAGCGGCGGACGGGUGAGUAACGCGUAGGAAUCUACCUAGUAGAAGGGGAUAGCCCGGGGAAACUCGGAUUAAUACCGUAUACCUCCUUUGGGAGAAAGAGGGCCUCUCUUGAUGCUCUCGCUAUUAGAUGAGCCUGCGUAAGAUUAGCUUGUUGGUAAGGUAAUGGCUUACCAAGGCUACGAUCUUUAGCUGGUCUGAGAGGACGAUCAGCCACAUUGGGACUGAGACACGGCCCAGACUCCUACGGGAGGCAGCAGUGGGGAAUAUUGGACAAUGGGCGCAAGCCUGAUCCAGCCAUACCGCGUGUGUGAAGAAGGCCUUCGGGUUGUAAAGCACUUUAAGCAGGGAGAAAAAGCUAUAAGUUAAUACCUUAUAGCCGUGAUGUUACCUGCAGAAUAAGCACCGGCUAAUUCCGUGCCAGCAGCCGCGGUAAUACGGAAGGUGCAAGCGUUAAUCGGAAUUACUGGGCGUAAAGCGCGCGUAGGUGGUUUGUUAAGUUGGAUGUGAAAGCCCUGGGCUCAACCUAGGAACUGCAUCCAAAACUAACUCACUAGAGUACGAUAGAGGGAGGUAGAAUUCAUAGUGUAGCGGUGGAAUGCGUAGAUAUUAUGAAGAAUACCAGUGGCGAAGGCGGCCUCCUGGAUCUGUACUGACACUGAGGUGCGAAAGCGUGGGUAGCGAACAGGAUUAGAUACCCUGGUAGUCCACGCCGUAAACGAUGACAACUAGCUGUUGGGAGACAAUGUCUUUCAGUGGCGCAGCUAACGUUUUAAGUUGUCCGCCUGGGGAGUACGGCCGCAAGGCUAAAACUCAAAUGAAUUGACGGGGACCCGCACAAGCGGUGGAGCAUGUGGUUUAAUUCGAUGCAACGCGAAAAACCUUACCUACUCUUGACAUACUUGGAAGCUCUUGUAAUGAGAGUGUGCCUUUUGGAACCAAGAUACAGGUGCUGCAUGGCUGUCGUCAGCUCGUGUCGUGAGAUGUUCCGUUAAGUCGGAUAACGAGCGCAACCCUUACCCUUAUUUGCCAGCGAUUCGGUCGGGAACUAUAAGGGGACUGCCGGUGAUAAACCGGAGGAAGGUGAGGACGACGUCAAGUCAU